AUGGAAUGCCAAAGUGAAGUGAGCAAGGCUCCUUCUUUUGCUAUUUGUGAUGUCCAGUCUGACGCAGAAUCAGCCGUCCACACUAGGCCAAGUCUGGACAUUGGGUUUACUACACCACAGAAAUCCUAUAGUGCACCUUUCUGUGGCUCAUCUUGUACUCCAGAGUGUGAUGAUGCCAUCAGACCAGCCAUUGGGAUGACUUUUGCUGAUUUGAACGCAGCCAAGGAGUUCUAUGAAGCUUAUGCACAUCAUGUUGGUUUUUCAGUACGUGUGGGGCAGCAAAAGAUUGUCAAUGGUGUCAUUACUCACAAGCGUUUCUACUGUGACCGUGAAGGUUUCCGUGAAGAGCGGAAAGGUAAGGAAACUUUGGUAGCUAGCACUGGUAGUAAGAGGAGAUAUGAGAGGAAAAUAACUAGAUGUGGGUGCGAAGCUAAACUUGCAGUCAAACGUACGGUCGAGAAUAAGUACAUUGUGACACUUUUCGAACAGGAGCACACACACACACUUGUAUCACCUAGUAAAAAACAAUUCAUCAGAUCAAACAGGAAAGUUAGCCAACAAGCAAAAACUACAUUAUGGAACUGUCAUAAAGCUAGCAUUGGCACAUCCCUAGCAUAUAGGUUCCUUCGUGUAGACUUGUUUUUUUUUUGA
rnacentral:rRNA from 1 species